CUUUACUAUAUACCUGCCAGGGCGUAGUCAAAGGCUCCUGGACUUCUCUAUACCUGCCAGGGCGUAGUCAAAGGCUCCUGGACUUCCUGUCUGAGACUAUUGGAUCAUUCAGCAUUUACCCACAUCAUCAAAUAACGAUGCAAUGCAACAUAUUCGUGGAUACUAAUGCAAUCAACCUAUAGUAGAAUCAUGAUGCAUGAGAUAUGCGAAAAC
rnacentral:lncRNA from 1 species